rnacentral:rRNA from 1 species
UACGUAGGGUGCAGGCGUUAAUCGGAAUUACUGGGCGUAAAGCGUGCGCAGGCGGUUUCUUAAGUCAGAUGUGAAAUCCCCGGGCUUAACCUGGGAACUGCAUUUGUGACUGCAUGGCUAGAGUGCGGCAGAGGGGGAUGGAAUUCCGCGUGUAGCAGUGAAAUGCGUAGAUAUGCGGAGGAACACCGAUGGCGAAGGCAAUCCCCUGGGCCUGCACUGACGCUCAUGCACGAAAGCGUGGGGAGCAAACAGG